rnacentral:rRNA from 1 species
UCUGCCUGGUAGUGGGGGACAACGUUUCGAAAGGAACGCUAAUACCGCAUACGUCCUACGGGAGAAAGCAGGGGACCUUCGGGCCUUGCGCUAUCAGAUGAGCCUAGGUCGGAUUAGCUAGUUGGUGGGGUAAUGGCUCACCAAGGCGACGAUCCGUAACUGGUCUGAGAGGAUGAUCAGUCACACUGGAACUGAGACACGGUCCAGACUCCUACGGGAGGCAGCAGUGGGGAAUAUUGGACAAUGGGCGAAAGCCUGAUCCAGCCAUGCCGCGUGUGUGAAGAAGGUCUUCGGAUUGUAAAGCACUUUAAGUUGGGAGGAAGGGCAGUAAGCUAAUACCUUGCUGUUUUGACGUUACCGACAGAAUAAGCACCGGCUAACUCUGUGCCAGCAGCCGCGGUAAUACAGAGGGUGCAAGCGUUAAUCGGAAUUACUGGGCGUAAAGCGCGCGUAGGUGGUUCGUUAAGUUGGAUGUGAAAGCCCCGGGCUCAACCUGGGAACUGCAUCCAAAACUGGCGAGCUAGAGUACGGUAGAGGGUGGUGGAAUUUCCUGUGUAGCGGUGAAAUGCGUAGAUAUAGGAAGGAACACCA